rnacentral:rRNA from 1 species
UACGUAGGGUGCGAGCGUUAAUCGGAAUUACUGGGCGUAAAGCGUGCGUAGGCGGUUCGCUGUGUCCGAUGUGAAAGCCCCCGGGCUUAACCUCGAGAUGUCAUCGGAAACCAUCUGGCUAGAGUCCGGAAGAGGAAAGUGGAAUUCCUGGUGUAGCGGUGAAAUGCGCAGAUAUCAGGAAGAACACCAAUGGCGAAAAGCAGCUU